rnacentral:rRNA from 1 species
UGCAGUCGAACGGUGAACACGGAGCUUGCUCUGUGGGAUCAGUGGCGAACGGGUGAGUAACACGUGAGCAACCUGCCCCUGACUCUGGGAUAAGCGCUGGAAACGGCGUCUAAUACUGGAUACGAACCAUGAAGGCAUCUUCAGUGGUUGGAAAGAUUUAUUGGUUGGGGAUGGGCUCGCGGCCUAUCAGCUUGUUGGUGAGGUAAUGGCUCACCAAGGCGUCGACGGGUAGCCGGCCUGAGAGGGUGACCGGCCACACUGGGACUGAGACACGGCCCAGACUCCUACGGGAGGCAGCAGUGGGGAAUAUUGCACAAUGGGCGCAAGCCUGAUGCAGCAACGCCGCGUGAGGGAUGACGGCCUUCGGGUUGUAAACCUCUUUUAGCAGGGAAGAAGCGAAAGUGACGGUACCUGCAGAAAAAGCGCCGGCUAACUACGUGCCAGCAGCCGCGGUAAUACGUAGGGCGCAAGCGUUAUCCGGAAUUAUUGGGCGUAAAGAGCUCGUAGGCGGUUUGUCGCGUCUGCUGUGAAAUCCGGAGGCUCAACCUCCGGCCUGCAGUGGGUACGGGCAGACUAGAGUGCGGUAGGGGAGAUUGGAAUUCCUGGUGUAGCGGUGGAAUGCGCAGAUAUCAGGAGGAACACCGAUGGCGAAGGCAGAUCUCUGGGCCGUAACUGACGCUGAGGAGCGAAAGGGUGGGGAGCAAACAGGCUUAGAUACCCUGGUAGUCCACCCCGUAAACGUUGGGAACUAGUUGUGGGGUCCAUUCCACGGAUUCCGUGACGCAGCUAACGCAUUAAGUUCCCCGCCUGGGGAGUACGGCCGCAAGGU